GCGACCCCAAGUCAGGCGGGACUACUCGCUGAGUU
rnacentral:rRNA from 1 species